CCUACGGGUGGCAGCAGUGAGGAAUAUUGGUCAAUGGACGCAAGUCUGAACCAGCCAUGCCGCGUGCAGGAAGACGGCUCUAUGAGUUGUAAACUGCUUUUGUACGAGGGUAAACGCAGAUACGCGUAUCUGUCUGAAAGUAUCGUACGAAUAAGGAUCGGCUAACUCCGUGCCAGCAGCCGCGGUAAUACGGAGGAUUCAAGCGUUAUCCGGAUUUAUUGGGUUUAAAGGGUGCGUAGGUGGUCGGAUAAGUUAGAGGUGAAAGCCCGCGGCUCAACUUCGGAAUUGCCUCUGAUACUGUUCGGCUAGAGUGUAGUUGAGGUAGGCGGAAUGUAUGGUGUAGCGGUGAAAUGCUUAGAGAUCAUACAGAACACCGAUUGCGAAGGCAGCUUACCAAGCUACUUCUGACGUUGAGGCACGAAAGCGUGGGGAGCAAACAGGAUUAGAUACCCUUGUAGUC
rnacentral:rRNA from 1 species